AGGGGCUCAGGCAGCCCCUCGUGCAGAACUAGGCAGGUAUAUCUCCCUUCCUGGCCCGAGGUCACCCCCACAGCCGCCCACUUCUGGAAGGUCCCAUCUCCAGCAGGCCUGGUCUCGAUGAACUCUGUGUCCUGGUGCUGUUCUUCCCCA